rnacentral:rRNA from 1 species
UGCCCCGAAAACCUAAGGAUUCCUCUGGAAGGUUCGUCCACGGAGGGUGAGUCAGGACCUAAGGCGAGGCUGAAAAGCGUAGUCGAUGGAUGACAGGUUAAUAUUCCUGUACUAUCUACUAUUGAUCUAUUGAUAACGAGGGACGGAGAAGGCUAAGUCAGCCGGAUGUUGGUUACCGGUUUAAACUUUCGAUGUGAUGAGGAGUGGAGAAAACAUUCUGAGCAAAGAAGUGAAUACAAAGCACUAAGGUACUAAAGUGACUGAUGUCAUACUUCCUAGAAAAGCUCGAUAUAUCUUAAAUAGUAGAUACCUGUACCCGAAACCGACACAGGUAGGUAGGUAGAGUAUACCAAGGGGCGCGAGAUAACUCUCUCUAAGGAACUCGGCAAAAUGGCCCCGUAACUUCGGAAGAAGGGGUACCCUUGUAGGGUUGCAAUAACCAGACCCAAGCGACUGUUUAUCAAAAACACAGGUCUCCGCUAAGUCGUAAGACAAUGUAUGGGGGCUGACGCCUGCCCAGUGCCGGAAGGUUAAAGAAGUUGGUUAGUAUUUUACGAAGCUGACGACUGAAGCCCCGGUGAACGGCGGCCGUAACAAUAACGGUCCUAAGGUAGCGAAAUUCCUUGUCGGGUAAGUUCCGACCCGCACGAAAGGCGUAACGAUUUGGGUACUGUCUCGGAGAGAGACUCGGCGAAAUAGACUUGUCUGUGAAGAUGCGGACUACCUGCACCUGGACAGAAAGACCCUAUGAAGCUUUACUGUAACUUGGAAUUGGGUUUGAGCUUUUCUUGCGCAGCAUAGGUGGGAGGCUAAGAAAAUAAGUUUGUGGAUUUAUUUGAGCCAUCAGUGAGAUACCACUCUAGGAAAGCUAGAAUUCUAACCUUGAAAGCCGUUAUCCGGCCAAGGAACAGUUUCAGGUGGGCAGUUUGACUGGGGCGGUCGCCUCCUAAAAAGUAACGGAGGCGUGCAAAGGUUCCCUCAGGCUGGUUGGAAAUCAGUCGUAGAGUGUAAAGGCAUAAGGGAGCUUGACUGCAAGACCUACAAGUCGAGCAGAGACGAAAGUCGGCCUUAGUGAUCCGACAGUGCCGAGUGGAAGGGCUGUCGCUCAACGGAUAAAAGUUA